rnacentral:rRNA from 1 species
AGCUCAUGAAUAAGGGGCUCCCAACUCUGUGCCAGCAGGAGCGGUAAUACAGAGGCCUCAAGCGUUAUCCGGAUUCACUGGGCGUAAAGGGUGCGUAGGCGGUUAUAUUAGUCGGGCGUAAAAUCCUAGGGCUCAACCUUAGGCCCGCGUUCGAAACGGUAUAACUAGGAGUAGUGAGAGGUGAACAGAACUCACGGUGUAGGGGUGAAAUCCGUUGAUAUCGUGGGGAAUACCAAAUGCGAAGGCAGUUCACUGGCGCUUACUCGACGCUGAGGCACGAAAGCGUGGGUAGCGAACGGGAUUAGAUACCCCGGUAGUCCACGCCCUAAACGCUGUCCGCUGGCUUUAGGGAGAAUCGACCCUCCCUGAGGCGAAGGUAACCCGUUAAGCGGACCGCCUGGGUAGUACGAGCGCAAGCUUAAAACUCAAAGGAAUAGACGGGGGCUCGCACAAGCGGUGGAUCAUGAGGCUUAAUUCGUCGAUAAGCGAAAAACCUUACCCAGGCUAGAAACCAUACUGCACGCUCUCCGAAAGGAGAGAAUCCUUCGAGGGUGUAUGGCAGGUGAUGCAUGGCCGUCGUCAGUUCGUGGCUUGAGCUGUUCCCUUAAGUGGGGAAACGAACGCAACCCUCGUUGCCUGUUACAAGUGUCAGGCGAGACUGCUCCCUCACGGGAGAGGAAGGUGAGGAUGACGCCAGGUCAGCAUGUCCCUUGAUGCCUGGGGCUGCACUCGUGAUACAAUGGGAUGUACAAAGGGACGCAAUACAGUAAUGUGGAGCAAAUCCUGAUAAAACAUUCCUCAGUUCGGAUUGAGGGCUGCAACUCGCCCUCAUGAAGCCGGAAUCGCU